rnacentral:tRNA from 1 species
GGUUCCAUAGUGUAGCGGGGAGCACAUCUGCUUUACACGUAGAAGGUCCUGGGUUUGCCCCCCAGUGGAGCCA